GACGAACGCUGGCGGCGUGCUUAACACAUGCAAGUCGAACGGAAAGGCCCUGCUUUUGUGGGGUGCUCGAGUGGCGAACGGGUGAGUAACACGUGAGUAACCUGCCCUUGACUUUGGGAUAACUUCAGGAAACUGGGGCUAAUACCGGAUAGGAGCUCCUGCUGCAUGGUGGGGGUUGGAAAGUUUCGGCGGUUGGGGAUGGACUCGCGGCUUAUCAGCUUGUUGGUGGGGUAGUGGCUUACCAAGGCUUUGACAGGUAGCCGGCCUGAGAGGGUGACCGGCCACAUUGGGACUGAGAUACGGCCCAGACUCCUACGGGAGGCAGCAGUGGGGAAUAUUGCACAAUGGGCGGAAGCCUGAUGCAGCAACGCCGCGUGCGGGAUGAAGGCCUUCGGGUUGUAAACCGCUUUCGCCUGUGACGAAGCGUGAGUGACGGUAAUGGGUAAAGAAGCACCGGCUAACUACGUG
rnacentral:rRNA from 1 species